rnacentral:rRNA from 1 species
ACGGAAGGCAGCAGUGGGGAAUAUUGGGCAAUGGGCGAAAGCCUGACCCAGCAACGCCGCGUGAAGGAAGAGGGUCUUCGGAUUGUAAACUUCUUUUAUAAGGGACGAAGAAAGUGACGGUACCCUAUGAAUAAGCCACGGCUAACUACGUGCCAGCAGCAGCGGUAAUACGUAGGUGGCAAGCGUUAUCCGGAUUUACUGGGUGUAAAGGGCGCGUAGGCGGGGAUGCAAGUCAGAUGUGAAAUCCAUGGGCUUAACCCAUGAACUGCAUUUGAAACUGUAUCUCUUGAGUGCUGGAGAGGUAGACGGAAUUCCUUGUGUAGCGGUGAAAUGCGUAGAUAUAAGGAAGAACACCAGUGGCGAAGGCGGUCUACUGGACAGUAACUGACGCUGAGGCGCGAAAGCGUGGGGAGCAAACAGGAUUAGAUACCCUGGUA